AGUGCCUUUGGAGAAUGAAAAGAAUUUGUUUACCUCCCUUCCCGAUUGGUCUUGCAUUUCAACCUUCCGUCGAAGAUUCUCAUAGGCUAAUUCAUCGAAAACAUCUUCAGCCUCAUAAGCUACCUCUCGGAGCUUCUUCAGCCAAAGCUUCACAGGCUCCCUCUUCGUUUGUUGCUCCUCUGCAUCUUGAAGCACACCACG
rnacentral:misc_RNA from 1 species